CGUCAGAUUGUUUGAACCGGUUUUUCCCGUCUGCUCAGUUUUUAAAUCAGCAGCACUCGACGUGGAUAUUCUCUUCUUAGCUGUUAUGUCUUCAUCUUUUUGGAAUGAUGGAAUGGUUAUACGUUUUGAAAUUGGUCUCAUCAGAUCAUAACGUGUUUUGCUACAUGGUCUGGGGUGAUUUAGUUGAGCUUGAGCCCAGACAUGUGAAGAAUAUGAGAGAUUGUUGAUGCAGAAGUAAUCAGUAGUUUUGUCAGGUAUUCCUGAAGCUCCUUUAAUGUUGCUGUAGGUCUCUUGGAAGCCUCCCUGGCUUUGUUAGCUCUUUGUGGACCGUGGCUUCAGCAGUCGAGUCGGAUGAAACCAAGAAGAUGUGAAGAAAAUCCUGGAAACAGCGGGUCUUUCUUUGGAGUUAAUCAGAAUCAUCUCAAUCCUGACAGCCGUAUGAUAAUAAGGUUUAAACGUGAGAUUGAAUGUGAUUGGUUCAUUCUGAGCACAUCCACGUCCCCAGUUAUAAAAGGGUGCGCACGCUUUUAUCCUUUUUCCCUGAAAUGUUUUUUGAUUGUUUUUCCGCUUCAUUUUUAUGCGUUGUAAUUUCUCAUUGAGGGAUGAAAAAAAAAAAAAAAACAGGUGUGACAUGAUUUAUCUUGGUUUCACGUUUACGUUUACGUCACAAAAAACUACCGUUUUAACAGGGGUGUGUAGACUUUUUAUAUCCACUGUAUUUGUAAAAAUAAUAAAGUUCAGAACAAGCUAAAAUAAUAUAGAAUCUAACCACAGUUUAAAUAAACUGCCUUUAUGGGAGGGGAAAUUAGAUAGAUAUGUAAUAUAAGACAAAGAUAACCUGAGUCAAAUACAGUUUUUAAGUUAUGCAACACCAACUGGCCCUGAGUGGAAAAAGUAGUUUUCCCCCUUAUUUACUCAAUCAACCUAUUAACUAAAUGCAAUUGAUAAUCGGGUUCAGUUGGAUUAGCCACACCCAGGAUCUGUUUAACACCAUUAAACAGAAGCUUUCCAGAAACAUGAAGUCUAAAAGCUCUCAAAACCUCGAUGACCCCCAAGCCUUUUGGGCCAGUGUAAUGUGGAUUGAUGAUAAUCUACAGGUAUCGGAAGCCUUUGGUCACAGUUGUUGCUGCUAAACGUGGCACAACCAGUUAAGUUCAGGGCGCAAUUACUUUUUCACACAGGGCCAGUUGGUGUUAAAUCAUUUUUGUUUCCCUACAAUAAAUGAAAUGAUUAUUUAAAAACUGUAUUUUGUGUUUACUUUGGUUGUACUAAGAUGUGAAGAAUCAUUUGUGAGAAUAAAUGUGAAGAAUCAUAUCAGGGAACAAAUGAAUCGUGUUGAGAAUCACAUGUGAGAGUAAAUGAGUCCUGUGACAAAUCACGUGAGCAUAAGUGAAUCAUGUGUGAAGAAUCACAUAUGAGAAUAAAUGAGUCGUGUAAAGAAUCACAUUGGAAUAAAUGAACCAUGUGUAAAGAAUCACAUGGUAGAAUAAAUGAGUCAUGUAUAAAGAAUCACAUGUAAGAAUGGGAAGAAUCAUAUGUGAGUAUAAAUGAGUCGUGUAAAGAAUCACAUGAGAAUAAAUUAAUCAUGUGUAAAGAAUCAUAUGUAAGAAUAAAUGAAUCACAUGACAAUAAAUGAGUCGUGUAAAGAAUCACAUGUAAGAAUGGGAAGAAUCAUAUGAGAAUAAAUGAGUCAUGUGUAAAGAAUCACAUGUAAGAAUGGGAAGAAUCAUAUGAGAAUAAAUGAGUCGUGUAAAGAAUCACAUGUAAGAAUAAAUGAAUCAUGGGAGAAAUCAUGUGAGAAUAAACGAGUCGUGUGUAAAGAUUCAUGUGAGAAUAAAUUAAUCAUGGGAAGAAUCACGUGAGAUUAAAUGAGUCAUGUGU